rnacentral:lncRNA from 1 species
CUUAGUCUUCAAGAAAUAACUGGUUCUAUUAAGUAAAAGGGAAAUGAGUGGAAUGAAAAUCAGAGAUUUUUGAGCUAUUUAAGGUCAGGGCUGGAGACCCCAUCUCUCGAUUAACAUUUAAAUUACUAUUUUUUUUUAUUUCUUUAAUUUCCUGGCUGGAGACAAGAAUCAAGCCUGCGCAGUCUGAGAAGUGCCCGCUCUGAGCAGUCAGUCCUGGUGCUGUGACUGCAGGCCAUGUGGGAGAAGGACAGGCAGGGGGCCUGGUCAAGUCCUCAGACCCCUGCCCUCUGAGUUUGCGCCCCCCGGGUCCUGCAGGGGGCAGAGGUGAGGGAGGCCGGACAACACUGGCCAGGUGCUGAAGGGCUGGAACAGUACGAGCCGCAGUUGACAAACUGCUGAUGCAGAAUCCUGAAGGGAUGGCUUCUGUUAGUACAGACACGACGCUACGUGUUGCAUGCAGGAAUGCAAACCAGAUCAACUCACAAACCAGCACGAGAAGAACCUUACAGCCGCAGACAAUUUCUGUUGAGAAGCGGACUGCUGAUGAAAGCCCAGGCUGGGAGUGGACAGGCGGCUCGUGUCUCUCUCGUC